UGAGAGUUCUGGCCUGGAGGACCCGGUCUCAUUUCCUGCGGGACAUCCUACAGGUCGCUUCCCUCCAUGGGCCUCAGUUUCCCCAUCUGGCAGCCGAGCUCGUCACACCGGUACAGGCACGCUUGAAACCAGCCACCAUGCUGUGAGGAAGCCCAAGCCCUGCGGAGAGAUGACGUGACGUGUUCUGGCUGACGUCUCCAGUUAGGGCUCUCAGUUCACAACCAGCAUCACUCAGAUAGGUGAUGACCUGACAUCAUCCCAGCUGCCAGCCUCUGAGUCUUCUAGCCAAAGCCCCAGACGUGGAGCAGAGACAAGCCAACCUUGCCGUGCCCUGUCUGAAUUUCUCUCCCACAGAAACUGAGAGAUAAGAAGCGAUCAUUAUUGUUUUAAGCCAGUGGGAGAUGGAGUGACCACCAACAACAUGCAUUCCUAAGGUGGUCUGAUGGAGUGUGGGGCUCCAGCGAGGAAGUGGAGCCCUGGGCAGGAGGCAUCUCAUCAUGGAGACAGUCUGUUAUCUGAGAAAGCCAAGGCUUCCUGUUGGGCUCCCCUUGGGCAAAUGCCUGGCAUGGACAAAGGAAGAUGAUGAAAUAACAACCAUGAUGAAUGGCCACUGAAUGCUUUGCACACGCUGAAGAGCUUUCUGUGGAUUAUUUCACUGAAACCUCAGAGCAACUCUAUGAGGUCCCAGCUUUGUGGUCCUGGCCAGUAGUGGAUCCUUGAAACCUUCAGACUGGGCACUGUCCUUGGCCACAAUACUCUCUGUUGAAGACUUUAUCCCCUCUCACAGGGAAGAACAAAGAGGGGUGAGGAAGAAAGAGAACUCAAUCCUGCUGAGCUUUGAGCCAAAUAAGCCUCUACUUGUUGUGGUCCAUUGGAAAAUAGAGUCCUGUUCCUUAAUAGAGUCGUAUAGCUUGGGAAACUGAGACCCAGGAGGCAGGAGAGGCCCCAUGUAGGCGAUGACACCAAACACUGAGUAAGUAUCACGUCCUUGAUAGGAAGAUGAAGACUGAGCCAAUGCAGCCUAUGUGCUACAAAAACAAUUUCCCUUGUUGAGUUGUCUCCCUUUCUGCUUCAGGCCCGUGGGCUCCACUGCCUUGGGGACAAACAUCACGGCCGCGACACUCAUGUCAUGCUCCAGCCUCUAACAUUGCCAGCCUCUGGCUGCCAGCCUUUCGAUGAUGUAGGAUUUAGAGCCAAAAAACAUUAUGUCAGCUGCUCAGUGGCAUCCAUUAUCACAUUACCACAAAUAACUUUAUCAAGUACUAUAAAUUUAAAUGUGUUUUUCUCAUCUUAAUAUUUCCAGAAUUAGAAUGCAACUUAGAAGAGAUAAGUACGUUUGAUAUAUUGCUUUAGUUAAGAAAACUUUUAUGGAAUUGAUGGCAUGUGUUAUAAUUGUUGGUGUCUUAGAAUUGAGAGAAUGUGGUGCUAAGGCUCUAAAAGAAUGGGGACACUGCACAGGUACAUUUUGAUAGAUGAUAAGGAGCUUAGGAAAUGUGAAAAUGAGGAUAAAUUCAUAAGCACCGAAUAAUCAUAACUGAUACUACUUACUGGGUGCUUAUUUUGUGCCAAUUAUACAUUUUCUCUAAUUCGUAAAUAAUCCCCACAGGAAGAUAAUGUGAUUUUAGUCAUUUUAAACCUAUGUAUAUGAUAGUCUCCACA